rnacentral:lncRNA from 1 species
UUCUUGGAACAAAACACGAUUUGAAAAUAGUGAUAUUCAUUUCUACCUAACAGUUCCAAAGGCCCUCAAGGGCCUUCAGAGAGUGUAACUAAUAACUAUGUCCCAAACUAAGGUUAGUUUUUUUCCAUAUCGCCUUACCAUGGAAUUCAAAUCCAUAAAAACAAAUAAACCAAUAAAGAAUGAGUAGAAGACAUUUAUGUAGAACAUAAUGCAGAAACAUAAAGAGAGGCCAAAGAAAAUCCUAACCUUGAGAUCGCUGACAAACGUAUCAAAAUGGAGCUGUGCACCACAAAAAAGUCCAGUCACAAAUUCAUACAUUGGCAAGGAAUUUUAGUCACUCCAAAUAUCUAUGAACGAAUCAAUCUUAGGAUUUGACACACAAAACACUUAACUGAAGUAGUGUUGUACAGCUCAGUCUAAUUAAAUCAAAAGUGUCAGUCUUUAUAUAACAAGAGCUUCAUGUUUUAUUUUGCAAAUUACUGGAAAUGAGCUGACAGUUUGUUUUAUUUCAUUUGGAAUGUUGUGGUUAGAGGGUCUAAAUGACGGUGAAAUGGGCAAUAUCAAAAUACAAAAAAAAAAACAUUUUAAUCAUAUAUAUCAUCAGUACACAUAAUACUGAGAUUUCUGUAUGAUAAAACAAUAAAAAAAUCAUAUUUGAAUAAAUAUCCAUGACAUUAGAUUAUAAAUGAUUCAGACCUUUUCUUUACUCUGCAUCAGCAACUUCAUCAAGUUGAGGACUAUUGAUGUUUACUUAUUGAAUGAAGGUUUUUCCUCUCCAUCUUUAUAAGAGACCUGCAGUAGCCAUUACAAACCAAUUUAGAAAAACUAACACUGCUCCCUAAACUAAUAAAACAAUCAUGCAAUGACUUGAUUGCAUGUUAAUCUUGUCAACUUUGAGCUGCAAAACAAGCACACGAUCAUAAUUAUACCUCAUCAUAGGGUAUUAACGAAUGAAAGGGAUAAUUCAAACUCAACCAUACUGGAUCGCCUGUUACGGUGUUACCAGACAUUGAGCUUCGUCCUAUGAGCACCAAUCAAAUCCUACACUGAGCUUUCAUGAAAACCUGCAACAAGAUUCAACAAUUUGCGAUUAAGGAGAAGAGAAGGGUUUUGCAACCUGAUCGAACAACAAGAGUGAAAAUGAGCAAGAGCAGGAAGAAAAAUGAGAGCCGAGAAAUAGCGCAAGUGUGUCUUAGUUAGGAACAUUUGCUAGAAAGAAUGAACAGGCAACAUUAGUAAAAAAAUAACAGUAUCAUGGUUGCCAAACUUUUUGGUAACGUUUAAACUACAAAUGUAACUAUGUAAGUAAAAGUUAUAAGGGUGUUUAAUAAAACAACUUAAUUAUAAGCACUCAUGGCCUAAGCGCCGAUUAUAUUAGCAAUUACUCAUAAGCCAAUUUGAGAAUUUUAUUGAAAUAAGUUGAAAACAGCAUAAGAAUUUUAUUGAAAUAAGUUAUUAACUAGCAUAAGCUUGUCUCCACAAGCUAUUCUGAACAAUUUGUGAAAAUAAGCUCAAAACAGCUUAUAGGUAGGUCAUAAGUUAUUUGGAUAAGUUUUCUAGCCAAACACAGUGUUUGUGCUAUAAGAUAAACUCAAAUAAGUUCCUCCAAGUUGGGCUUAAAUGCAGUAAUGACUACAGUACCCUACUUAGUGUUUUUUUAAACACUCCUCUACUUUAUUUUUGAGAUAAGCCAUAUAAUAUAUAUUGGUAUGAAGUACAAGCACUCCUCUACUGAGACAACCAUGUUCUAUCGGGUGUGAUAAAAGUUAAAGGUCUCCCCAUUGAACUUUCAAUCUCAAAAUUCAAACAACCACGUUUGACCAUUGCGACCGGCAUGCAUUCAAUAAUUGUUAUAAUUUUUUAAUAUAUGAUAGUUUGCACCAUAUCACUAAAUAAAAGACAAAAAUGGUGUGUUAAAAUAUGAAAAAAUAAAAUCACAUAUUGGUCAUCUUACUGAAACUAAAAAUAUAAUUUAUCAUUUAUUAAAAUAUUUGAGAAUCUUCUAAUUUGGUUGCGGAAGUACGCACCUAGAUCCCUCAACCGCGGGAAGAUCAUUUCUUGGUUGGUUUAUAUUAAUUAGUGUAAUUUAUCUUUCUGAUGUAAAAAAAAUAUAGUUAAAAUUUUAUUUGUAACGUCUAUUAGUAUUAAAAUAUUCUUGUCAAUUUUUUCUAAUACAAUUUCUAAGUGUUUAUAUGUAUUUUCUAAUUUUCUAUUAAUGUCGUUUUAAUAAAUUUUUAAUAAUAUUAUUUUUGUAUAUUCUACUUGCACUACCUACAAGUUAGGUUGCACAUUAAAUUUUCUAUAAGUUUGUGGGGACCUAGGGACAAAACCAAAAAGUUCACCUUUAGAUUUUUAGUUCAGUGAUGAUCUUGUGUAGUAAAAGUGUAAAACCAACGUAGACGACUAAUCAAAGAGGGUGCAAUGUCCCUUUCUUUUGCCCUUAUCACUUAUUAUCCUCGCCCCAGAACCACAACAGCUUGUUGAGUUUCUUCUCUUCAAUUAUUUUGUCAUUUGCUUCCCCUGUGCAUAGGCAGUACUCUCACAAAAACUUCUGGGAUCUAGCCUCUUGCUUCGGCAAAACAAUGGUGCAUAACAUCUUAAUGGCAUUUCUUUGGCUCUUAUUAUUAUUCUCCCACAUUUCAAAAACUUCCACUUCUUCCACUUCAUUGGACACUUUAGCAGUGAACCAAUCAAUCCGAGAUGGUGAGAGUCUACUUUCAGCAGGUGGAAUCAUUAAAAUGGGUUUCUUCAGCCCCGGGAGUUCAAAAAGUCGAUACUUGGGUGUAUGGUAUACGAAUGUAUCGCCUUUAACAGUGAUAUGGGUGGCCAACAGAGAAACACCUCUACUGAACAAUUCAGGAGUGUUAAAGCUCAACGCAAAAGGGGUUCUUCAGCUUCUCAACGGUACUGCUAACAACACUAUAAUUUGGUCAUCAAACAGAACAAGCAAAGCAGGGAAUAUGAAUAAUCUAAUUGCUCAUCUCCAGGAUUCAGGAAAUUUGGUAGUGAAAAAUGGACAGGAAACUGAUGACUUUUUGUGGCAGAGUUUUGAUUAUCCUAGUGAUACAUUGAUGUCGGGAAUGAAGCUUGGGUGGAACUUGGAAAUUGGUCUAGAAAGAUUCAUAUCAUCAUGGAAAAGUGCUGAUGACCCUGCUGAGGGAGAAUAUGCUACCAAACUUGACCUCAGAGGAUAUCCACAGAUAAUGAGAUUCAAGGGGUCUGAUAUAGUUACUAGAGCAGGGCCAUGGCUAGGUGAGUUCAUUGCAGGAUCUCAAGGUCCAACUCCGGGAGCAGCACAGAGAUUUGUGUUCAAUGAAAAAGAAGUGUAUUAUGAGUACGACCGUAACGAAACCUCAACUAUCGCCGUAAAUAAACUGACUCCUUCAGGGGCUGCCCAGACUCUCUAUUGGACCGUUGGAUCGAGCAGCCAAAAAGUGUACUCAAAUGGGGAGCUAGAUCAAUGUGAAGACUAUGCCUAUUGUGGUGCGAAUUCUAUAUGCAGCAUGGACGGUACCCUUCCAACUUGUGAGUGCUUGAAAGGGUAUGUUCCCAAGAUUCCUCAACAGUGGAAGUUGUCUCACUGGCAAAAGGGUUGUGUUCCAAGGAAUGAAUCUGAUUGCAAAAACAGUCCUACGUACAAAACAAAGGGCUUCUUCAAGUACACACACGUGAAGUAUCCAGACACUUCCUCAUCAUGGUUUAGUAAGACCAUGAACCUUGAGGAAUGUAAGAUGUCGUGUUUGAGAAAUUGUUCAUGUGUAGCGUAUGCAAAUUUGGAUACCCGCAAUGGGGGGACUGGGUGUCUGCUUUGGUUUAAUCAUCUGGUUGACGCGAGGGAAUUCACUCAUUUGGGACAAGAUCUUUAUGUCAAAGUCCCUCUUUCAGAACUAGGUACCCAGAUUUUUUUUAUUUCAAAGACUUAGUUAUACGUUUUUCUUUUUGGGGUUCCUUUCCCCAUUUGGUUUCUUGUUGAUUUGGAAGUUAUUAGUUAUUUGUUAUGUGGCAUAAUUUAUUUUCCAUGUUAAAAGCAUUUUGUUCCUCAUUCGCUUAAGGAAAUUAAAUACACUUCCUUCCAAACAGAUUUGUUCAUAAAGUUGGAAACUAAUCAUGCUCUGCAUGCAUCUUUCAGAUCAAGUCACAACGGAUGACCAUGGAAACAUCAAGAAGAUAGUAGGAAUCACAGUUGGUGUGGCUAUUUUUGGAUUAAUAACAUGUGGAUUGAUAUUGAUAAUAAAAAAUCCAGGUAAAUUCACAGAUACAAUAUACCAUCUUAUAUAGGCAACAAAGAAAUAACUUGCAUUUUCUGUGUGUUGUAUUGUUCAUAUAUAUCUUUCAACCAAUCAAGGGCUAUGUCAUAGUGAUUAUGUCUUCUAAGUUCUAACUAAUCAGGGGCUGCAAGAAAUGCUUUCUGCAAGCAUUACAAAAAGAACCCGAGGAAGGAAGAUGUUGAUUUGUCAACAUUCGAUUUCUCAGUCUUAGCUUAUGCCACUAACAAUUUUUCAAGCAGUAACAAACUUGGAGAAGGUGGCUUUGGACCAGUAUACAAGGUAACAAAGGUGUGAGAUGACUUCUUCUUCCCUUAGGAACUUUCUAACCAUAUCAUAUUACUUUCUAGGGAAUAUUGAUAGAUGGACAAGAGAUAGCUGUGAAAAGGCUUUCAAAAAGAUCUGGACAAGGGUUGGACGAGUUUAAAAAUGAAGUGGCACUGAUUGCCAAACUUCAGCACCGUAAUCUCAUAAAGCUUCUUGGUUGUUGUAUUCAAGGAGAAGAAACAAUGUUGGUCUAUGAAUACAUGCCCAACAAAAGCUUGGACAACUUUGUUUUUGGUACAAGCAUACUUUUCAACUUAUCAUAAACUUCAGUAACACUCUUCUUAUAUCUUAUCAUAAUUUUGGAAACUAUGGAGACUGAAGUGUUAUGCUAAAUAUGCAUGUCUUUAAUUGACCAGAUGAAACCAAAAGCAUGUCACUAGAUUGGCUUAAGCGUUUCAAUAUUAUUGGUAGCAUUGCUCGUGGACUUCUUUAUCUUCAUCAAGACUCAAGACUGAGGAUUAUCCACAGAGAUCUAAAAGCUAGCAAUAUAUUACUAGAUGUAAAUUUGGAACCAAAAAUAUCAGACUUCGGCUUGGCUCGAAUAUUUUUGGGAGACCAAAUCGAGGAUAACACAAAUAGAGUGGCUGGAACAUAGUAAGUUAGUUCCUACAUGUUUAUGGUUCUUUGAUAUUGCAUUUUCAAGUCAUACUAAUUUUACUUUGAAAACAAUAUAUUCAGUGGUUACAUAUCUCCAGAGUAUGCUGUCCAUGGGCAUUUCUCAGUAAAGUCUGAUGUCUUUAGCUAUGGUGUGAUUGUACUAGAGAUUGUAAGUGGGAAAAAGAACAGGGAAUUUUCAGACCCCAAACACCGCCAUAAUCUUCUUGGAUAUGUAAGCAUAAUCACCUCACUACCUUGCUUAUUAGUUUAAUUUGAACUGUUUCCUGUCACUAAUUUGUCUUUCACUUAAUAGGCAUGGAGAUUAUGGACUGAAGAGAGAGCGCUGGAACUAUUGGAUGAAGUGUUACGGGAACAAUACACACCAUUUGAAGUCAUGCGAAGCAUACAGGUGGGCCUAUUAUGCGUGCAACAAAGGCCAGAAGAUAGACCAGAUAUGUCAGCUGUGGUUCUAAUGCUAAAUGGUGAGAAACAAUUGCCAGAACCAAAGGUUCCUGGCUUUUACACUGAAAAAGAUGUAAGUACCGAAUCAGAUUCUUCACUGGCAAAUCACAAAUUCUGCUCAGCUAAUGGAAUAUCCAUCACAGAGUUAGAUGCAAGAUAGGGUAUCGAGACAAUGAAAUAGGUUAUUCUAACAAACCUAGUUUGUGAAAUAGCUAAUGUUUUUACUAUUAUGAACCUGUGUUUUAUUUGUCUAAUAUAUCCAGACACAUGCAUGAGAUGAACAAAAUUGUAUAUGAAGACAAUAAAGCUCAAUUCCUAUUAGUAAGAAGUGCCUCAGGCUAUUAGGAUAGACCUUCGCCGCAGCCUGUGCAAGUUCAUAUUAUGUUAGUUAUGUUUGUGUGUCAACUAUCGAAUAUCACUUCACCUUUUACUAUUUUUUUCAUAGCAAUUAUAAUUUAUAAAGGUCAGGGUUCGUCUCAGCGCCAGCAUCUACUACUAAUUUUUUACAGAGCAAGUUCUUUUUUACCAUUUUUACAUGUAUUAUUAUAACUAGUUCAAUCACCUCAUAAAUCAUAAUCCAAAGAAAUGAGUAAGCAAUAAUGACUUUUAUACCUGAUGAAUGCCGUGAACAGAAGAUGAAAAUUCCAAAAGCAUAGCCAACCUCCUAUCUCUGAAUAAAAGCACAAUAGUGGAAAUUUUCAAAUAAAUAGUAUAUUUACACUCACAACUUCCGAGGAAAAUUUCAAAUAAAAAACAAUAAGCAGUGCUUGAAUCCUUCUUCGAACAAAACAUGAUUUUAAAAUAGUGAUAUUCAUUUUUAUCUAACGGUUUCAGAGGUCUCCAAUGGCCUUCAGAGGGUGUAACUAUGUCCUAAACCAAGGUUGGCUUUUUUCUAAAUCUCCUUACUAUGGAAUUCAAAUCCAAAAAACCAAUAAAUUAAUAAGGAAUGAUUAGAACAUAUUUAUAUAGGACAUAAUGCAGAAACAUAAAGAGAGGCCAAAGCAAAUGCUAACCUUGAGAUCACUGGAAAACCUAUCAAAAUGGAGCUGUACACCGCAAAAAAGUUCAGUCACGAAUUCAAUACAUUGGCAACGAAUUUUAGUCACUCCAACUAUCUACGAACGAACCAAUUUGAGAACCUGACACACAAAAUACUUAAGAUUAGUAGUGUUGUAUCAUUCAGUGAAAUUAAAUCAAAAGUUUCAUAGUCUUAUAACAAUAGCGUCAUGUUUUGUUAUGCAAAUAACUGAAAAAGAGUUAAAUUGGCAAUAUCAAGUUAAAAAACAUUUUAAUUAUAUAUGCAUCAGAACAUAUAUUACUGAGAUUUCUGUAUGAUAAAACAUAAUAAAAAAAAACAUUUGAAUAAAUAUCCAUGACAUUGGGCUAUACAUGAUUCAGACCUUUUCUUUCACAGGUAACUCUGCAUCAGCAAUUUCAUCAAGUUGAGGCCUAUUGAUGUUUAGUUUUUGAAUGAACGUUUUUCCCCUUAAUCUUUUCAAGAAAC